GAUGAACGCUGGCGGCGUGCCUAAUACAUGCAAGUCGAGCGAACAGACGAGGAGCUUGCUCCUCUGACGUUAGCGGCGGACGGGUGAGUAACACGUGGAUAACCUACCUAUAAGACUGGGAUAACUUCGGGAAACCGGAGCUAAUACCGGAUAAUAUAUUGAACCGCAUGGUUCAAUAGUGAAAGACGGUUUUGCUGUCACUUAUAGAUGGAUCCGCGCCGCAUUAGCUAGUUGGUAAGGUAACGGCUUACCAAGGCGACGAUGCGUAGCCGACCUGAGAGGGUGACAGGCGAGAUGUGGACGGAGAGACGGCCCAGACUGCGACGGGGGGCAGAAGGGGGGAAUAUGGCAAAAUGGGCGCAAGACUGAUGAAGAAACGACGCGUGAGGGAGGACGGCCUUCGGGGUGUAAACCGCUUUCAGAAGGGAAGAAGCUUUUUGUGACGGUACCUGCAGAAGAAGCAGCGGCUAACUACGUG
rnacentral:rRNA from 1 species